GACGAACGCUGGCGGCGUGCUUAACACAUGCAAGUCGAACGGAAAGGCCCUGCUUUUGUGGGGUGCUCGAGUGGCGAACGGGUGAGUAACACGUGAGUAACCUGCCCUUGACUUUGGGAUAACUUCAGGAAACUGGGGCUAAUACCGGAUAGGAGCUCCUGCUGCAUGGUGGGGGUUGGAAAGUUUCGGCGGUUGGGGAUGGACUCGCGGCUUAUCAGCUUGUUGGUGGGGUAGUGGCUUUCCAAGGCUUUGGCGGGUAGACGGCCUGGGAGGGUGGCCGGCCACAUUGGGGCUGGGGUCAGGCCCAGGCUCCUACGGGAGGCAGCCGUGGGGAAUAUUGCAGCAUGGGCGGAAGCCUGAUGCAGCAACGCCGCGUGCGGGAUGACGGCCUUCGGGUUGUAAACCGCUUUCGCCUGUGACGAAGCGUGAGUGACGGUAAUGGGUAAAGAAGCACCGGCUAACUACGUG
rnacentral:rRNA from 1 species